AUGAACUGACUUUGAUCAGUCUCUCCAAGUUUGCCACGGUUACACGUGCAUGCGGCAACGGUUUGCACACACACAGCAACUGUGCAGGUUACCGUGUCCCAGAAAUAACACCACCUUCACCCCCGGCAAGUCCCUAGGCCUUCAAUGUGAGACCAUUCUCCUAAUAGAGAAAUUAUUGAAUAAAGCAAAUAAUGAUGUGAGAUGAAUGGAUUUGCAUGUUGUAUUUUACUUUUUUAAUGUGUAAUAAAAAACUGGGCAUAGCCUCAUCACUGAU